UCUAACUUUUUUGAAUCCAGUCGAACCCUUAUUUAUGGAUUAUACUCUCGAUAACUCGAACAUUCUCUAUUUUGAACUAAUUAAUCGGUCCUUUGGAGGUUCGAGGUAUCGAGAGUUGUCUAAAUAAUUAUAGUAAUACACGGUGGUUUAGUAAUGGACUUUUAACACGCGCAUGCGUCAAAUUUUGUUCAUACGUUUGUAAACAGAAACGAUCGCGGUUAAAAAUGGAUUUUUUACUAAAGUACUAUACACUUUAAACUUUAAUUAUUUGUGGAUAAUGCUAAAUUAUCUCUUAGAAAUUAUGUCAAAACAAUAUUUUAGGGUUAGCUAAUAUGUGAGUUUCAAGUGCUUCUGUUAUGAUGCAUGUUUUAUCUUCAAUAUCCUGAAUACUUAUCUGAAGUUGUUUUAUUUGAUGUUGUUUCUCAAUAUAUUUGUUAAACUCUUUACAGUCAAGUGUUUGGUUGUUUACUGCCAUUUGACAUGCAAUUUUGACGUUAAUUGUAUGACAAGAAUCUUCUAAAAUAUUGAAAAAUUUUAAAUACGUACCAAGCGAGAUAUGUAAUGCUGGAAUUCCAAUCUUAAAUUGCAAUCAAAAUAUAUAUAGUUAUGUUUAACAAUCACUUUGGCAUAAUUAAAAUAAAAGUUAUGGAUGUUAGUUGGAAAAUAGUUAUUUAAAGUACACAUCAAGUGGCACAUUAAAUAACCUUUGGUCAAUUACAUUAUCACAUAACUUGGCAAAUUUGGGAUCUGAACCAUGAUUUUUAUAUUUUUCUAAAUGUGAAUCUAGUGUCUCAAGUGAUCGCAUUUCAAUAUUGUCCUUGAUUGGAGCUGACAUUCCUUGUCUUGUAAUGUUGCAUAACAGGCAUGCGUGUCUACCUGAAGUUAUUAAACAAUUCAAUACUUUAAAAACAAAAUCAAUCAUAUAGCAGGAAUAUGUGCCAUAUGAGUUUUUAAUUGGAUAUAUAUAAUUAAUAUUUACUUACCAGUUGCACCAGUUAUUUCAUAGAUUGCACACAAGAAUUUGUAAUCACCAAAUAAAAAUAUACAAAUCUGUUUUUCUCUACGUUUGAAAAUUCUUACCUCCAAAUGGUAUUUUGCAAUAAAUCAAUUUCUGAUUUAAAUCUUGACAGUGAAAACUUCAGAUUUGUUUUACAAUCACUUGCUUCAAAUAUAUUAAAGACAGUUGUGUUUGUUUUUGCAUUAGGUUUCACUACGUUCACUACUUGGUAACACAUUUUGAACGAGCCACCUCCAUGGUUACCUUCUAUUUUUAUAUGGAUUUCAUUGCUUUUAAUCUUUUUGUUCAAUAGUAAGUUUUUGCUAAAGUAUAUUAUAGAAAAUUAAAUUUUAGAACUGAUUUUUUUCUUAAAAUUUAGUUUUGUAUUUUGUUGUUGUUAUUAUAUGUAAACCUUCCUAGUCAGAAAUUGUUACAAAAAAAUAUAACUAUUUUUAUAAA